GAAAGUUAUUAAGGGCGCAGGGUGGAUGCCUUGGCUCUCAGAGGCGAAGAAGGACGUGAUAAGCUGCGAAAAGCUUCGGGGAGGUGCAAAUAACCUUUGAUCCGGAGAUAUCCGAAUGGGGCAACCCGGUACGUUGAAGACGUAUCAUUCCGGGAAACCGGAAAGCAAACGCGGUGAACUGAAACAUCUAAGUAACCGCAGGAGAAGAAAACAAUAGUGAUUCCCUAAGUAGUGGCGAGCGAACGGGGAAGAGCCCAAACCACAGAUGUUACGGCAUGUGUGGGGUUGUAGGACUGCAAUAGUUGACUGUAAAUUUGUAGUUGAAUCACACUGGAAAGUGUAACCAUAGGAGGUGAUAGUCCUGUAAGCGAAACAAAUUUACUACACGAGCAGUAUCCUGAGUACCGCGGGACCGGAGAAAUCCUGUGGGAAUCUGCCAGCACCAUCUGGCAAGGCUAAAUACUCCUGAGAGACCGAUAGCGAACCAGUACUGUGAAGGAAAGGUGAAAAGAACCGCGAACAGCGGAGUGCAAUAGAACCUGAAACCGUGCGCCUACAAACGGUCGGAGGCCAGGCCAUAGCUUGCUAUGGUAGUAGCUAACGGCGUGCCUUUUGCAUAAUGAGCCUACGAGUUACUCCUCUCUGGCAAGGUUAAGUGUUUUAAAGCACGGAGCCGAAGCGAAAGCGAGUCUGAACAGGGCGAAGAGUCAGAGGGGGUAGACGCGAAACUUUGUGAUCUACCCAUGACCAGGUUGAAGGUCCGGUAACACGGACUGAAGGACCGAACCAGUUGACGUUGAAAAGUCUUUGGAUGAGUUGUGGGUAGGGGUGAAAGGCUAAUCAAACUGAGAGAUAGCUCGUACUCCCCGAAAUGUUUUUAGGAACAGCCUGAGGUGGACUGUCUUAGAGGUAGAGCUACUGAUUGGAUGCGGGGGCUUCACCGCCUACCAAAUCCUGACAAACUCCGAAUGCUAAGACAUAAUACCUUGGAGUGAGGCUAUGGGUGCUAAGGUCCGUGGCCGAGAGGGAAAGAACCCAGACCAUCAGCUAAGGUCCCCAAAUAAUUACUAAGUUGGUUAAACGAGGUCUGAUUGCAUUGACAGCUAGGAUGUUGGCUUGGAAGCAGCCAUUCAUUUAAAGAGUGCGUAACAGCUCACUAGUCGAGCGGUCGGGCGUGGAUGAUAAUCGGGCAUAAGUAUACUACCGAAACUGUGGAUUUCCGACGUAAAGUCGGAACUGGUAGGGGAGCAUUCCGGUCCGCGUAGAAGGUGUGUUGUAAGACAUGCUGGAGCGUCCGGAAAAGCAAAUGUAGGCAUAAGUAACGAUAAUGCGGGUGAGAAACCCGCACACCGGAAGACCAAGGUUUCCUGAUCAACGCUAAUCGGAUCAGGGUUAGUCGGGACCUAAGGCGUAGCCGAAGGGCGAAGUCGAUGGACAACAUGUUAAUAUUCAUGUACCGGCAAUAACUGCGAUGGGGUGACGGAGUAGUGACAGGCAUGCGUACUGACGGAAUAGUACGUUGAAGGGUGUAGAUAUAUCAUUUACAGGCAAAUCCGUAGAUGAUGUCGAACCUGAUAGUACCGUGAGGCUUCGGCCAAGCGGAUAAUUGCUGUAAACAGACUUCCAGGAAAAACCUCUAAGCAUCAGGUUAUUGGCGCCCGUACCGGAAACCGACACAGGUGGUCGAGGAGAGUAUCCAAAGGUGCUCGAGUGAAUCAUAGUUAAGGAACUAGGCAAAUUAGUCCUGUAACUUCGGGAGAAAGGACGCCCCGAGCAAUCGGGGCCGCAGAGAAAUGGCCCAGGCGACUGUUUAUCAAAAACACAUGGCUUUGCUAAAUCGAAAGAUGACGUAUAAGGCCUGACACCUGCCCGGUGCUGGAAGGUUAAGAGGAGAGGUUAGUCGCAAGGCGAAGCUUUGAAUUGAAGCCCCAGUAAACGGCGGCCGUAACUAUAACGGUCCUAAGGUAGCGAAAUUCCUUGUCGGGUAAGUUCCGACCUGCACGAAUGGUGUAACGAUCUGGGCACUGUCUCAGCCACGAGCUCGGUGAAAUUGUAGUUCCGGUGAAGAUGCCGGAUACCCGCAACGGGACGGAAAGACCCCGUGCACCUUCACUAUAGCUUAACAUUGACAUUGAAUAAACGAUGUGUAGGAUAGGUGGGAGACUGUGAAGCGGCUUCGCCAGGAGUCGUGGAGUCAUCCUUGAAAUACCACCCUUUGUUUAUUCGGUGCCUAAUCCCGCACAAGCGGGAGACAGUGUUUGGUGGGUAGUUUGACUGGGGUGGUCGCCUCCAAAAGCGUAACGGAGGCUUUCAAAGGUACCCUCAGCACGCUUGGUAACCGUGCGUAGAGUGCAAUGGCAUAAGGGUGCUUGACUGUGAGACCAACAAGUCGAUCAGGUAGGAAACUAGGACAUAGUGAUCCGGUGGUUCCGUAUGGAAGGGCCAUCGCUCAAAGGAUAAAAGGUACUCCGGGGAUAACAGGCUGAUCGCUCCCAAGAGCUCAAAUCGACGGAGCGGUUUGGCACCUCGAUGUCGGCUCGUCACAUCCUGGGGCUGGAGAAGGUCCCAAGGGUUCGGCUGUUCGCCGAUUAAAGUGGCACGCGAGCUGGGUUCAGAACGUCGCGAGACAGUUCGGUCCCUAUCUGUUGUGGGCGUUAGAAGUUUGAGAGCACCUGACUCUAGUACGAGAGGACCGAGUCGGACAUACCUCUUGUGUACCUGUUGUUGCGCCAGCUGCAUCGCAGGGUAGCCACGUAUGGAUGAGAUAAGCGCUGAAAGCAUCUAAGUGCGAAACUCAGCUCAAGAUGAGACUUCUUUUAAGGGUCGUUGUAGACUACGACGUUGAUAGGUCGCAGGUGUAAAGACAGUAAUGUCAAAGCCGAGCGAUACUAAUUACCCGUAAACUUUCUUAG
rnacentral:rRNA from 1 species